rnacentral:rRNA from 1 species
UGGGGAAUAUUGCACAAUGGGCGAAAGCCUGAUGCAGCGACGCCGCGUGAGGGAUGACGGCCUUCGGGUUGUAAACCUCUUUCAGCAGGGAAGAAGCGAAAGUGACGGUACCUGCAGAAGAAGCGCCGGCUAACUACGUGCCAGCAGCCGCGGUAAUACGUAGGGCGCAAGCGUUGUCCGGAAUUAUUGGGCGUAAAGAGCUUGUAGGCGGUUAGUCGCGUCUGCUGUGAAAACUCGAGGCUCAACCUCAGGCUUGCAGUGGGUACGGGCUGACUAGAGUGCGGUAGGGGUGACUGGAAUUCCUGGUGUAGCGGUGGAAUGCGCAGAUAUCAGGAGGAACACCGAUGGCGAAGGCAGGUCACUGGGCCGCAACUGACGCUGAGGAGCGAAAGCAUGGGGAGCGAACAGGAUUAGAUACCCUGGUAGUCCAUGCCGUAAACGUUGGGCACUAGGUGUGGGUCCAUUCCACGGAUUCCGUGCCGCAGCAAACGCAUUAAGUGCCCCGCCUGGGGAGUACGGCCGCAAGGCUAAAACUUAAAUGAAUUGACGGGGUCAUAGCUGUUUCC